GUUCUUACAACAAUAUACAACACAGAUGAACUAAAGUUCACGUUCCCAGAGAAGCAGAGAAGGGGAGCAUACCUUUAUGAGGCUUCACAGGAGAGGUGUUCACAGGACAGAUGAAUUCGGAGCUGGAUCCUGAAGGGAAAAGUAGAGUUUUCCAGGCACAUGAAGAUGAAGAGUGGUAUAAGACAGAUGGAGGCCAGAAAGUACGUGCAGAGGAUGAAGAAAAAAAAGGAAACCCCAGGCUGCCAGCACCGAAGAAGGAAAAUCAAGGCAGCACCAACUCUUGCUUGGGGUGGAGGCAGGGUGGGCAGGCGGGCAUUCGUCCUGUCAGCGGCACCUGCAAGUACCCAAGGCCAAGGGCCUCCUGCUUCCCAAGAGGGUGAAGGCACCAGCUCAGGUGCCACCUCUGCAGGGACAGGGAUCCAGAAUGGGUUCAUGAGCCCGGAGCUCCUUUCUCUGUGGAUCCUCUCUCACCCCUUAACCUCCUUCUGACCACAUUACCCAAGUAACAACCGACCUCAAAACCUCUGGAGCUUGUGACAGAGGCCAGCAAGUAAAGGGCCAGAGAGUAAAUAUCUCCACUGUAACUGCUCAGCUCUCCUGUUGUUGCAUGAGGGCAGCCAAGACGUG
rnacentral:lncRNA from 1 species